rnacentral:rRNA from 1 species
UUAAGUUAUUAAGGGCGCACGGUGGAUGCCUUGGCACUAGAAGCCGAUGAAGGACGUUACUAACGACGAUAUGCUUUGGGGAGCUGUAAGUAAGCUUUGAUCCAGAGAUUUCCGAAUGGGGAAACCCAGCAUGAGUUAUGUCAUGUUAUCGAUAUGUGAAUACAUAGCAUAUCAGAAGGCACACCCGGAGAACUGAAACAUCUUAGUACCCGGAGGAAGAGAAAGAAAAUUCGAUUCCCUUAGUAGCGGCGAGCGAAACGGGAAGAGCCCAAACCAANAAGCUUGCUUGUUGGGGUUGUAGGACACUCUAUACGGAGUUACAAAGGACGACAUUAGACGAAUCAUCUGGAAAGAUGAAUCAAAGAAGGUAAUAAUCCUGUAGUCGAAAAUGUUGUCUCUCUUGAGUGGAUCCUGAGUACGACGGAGCACGUGAAAUUCCGUCGGAAUCUGGGAGGACCAUCUCCUAAGGCUAAAUACUCUCUAGUGACCGAUAGUGAACCAGUACCGUGAGGGAAAGGUGAAAAGCACCCCGGAAGGGGAGUGAAAUAGAACCUGAAACCGUGUGCUUACAAGUAGUCAGAGCCCGUUAAUGGGUGAUGGCGUGCCUUUUGUAGAAUGAACCGGCGAGUUACGAUUUGAUGCAAGGUUAAGCAGUAAAUGUGGAGCCGUAGCGAAAGCGAGUCUGAAUAGGGCGUUUAGUAUUUGGUCGUAGACCCGAAACCAGGUGAUCUACCCUUGGUCAGGUUGAAGUUCAGGUAACACUGAAUGGAGGACCGAACCGACUUACGUUGAAAAGUGAGCGGAUGAACUGAGGGUAGCGGAGAAAUUCCAAUCGAACCUGGAGAUAGCUGGUUCUCUCCGAAAUAGCUUUAGGGCUAGCCUCAAGUGAUGAUUAUUGGAGGUAGAGCACUGUUUGGACGAGGGGCCCCUCUCGGGUUACCGAAUUCAGACAAACUCCGAAUGCCAAUUAAUUUAACUUGGGAGUCAGAACAUGGGUGAUAAGGUCCGUGUUCGAAAGGGAAACAGCCCAGACCACCAGCUAAGGUCCCAAAAUAUAUGUUAAGUGGAAAAGGAUGUGGCGUUGCCCAGACAACUAGGAUGUUGGCUUAGAAGCAGCCAUCAUUUAAAGAGUGCGUAAUAGCUCACUAGUCGAGUGACACUGCGCCGAAAAUGUACCGGGGCUAAACAUAUUACCGAAGCUGUGGAUUGUCCUUUGGACAAUGGUAGGAGAGCGUUCUAAGGGCGUUGAAGCAUGAUCGUAAGGACAUGUGGAGCGCUUAGAAGUGAGAAUGCCGGUGUGAGUAGCGAAAGACGGGUGAGAAUCCCGUCCACCGAUUGACUAAGGUUUCCAGAGGAAGGCUCGUCCGCUCUGGGUUAGUCGGGUCCUAAGCUGAGGCCGACAGGCGUAGGCGAUGGAUAACAGGUUGAUAUUCCUGUACCACCUAUAAUCGUUUUAAUCGAUGGGGGGACGCAGUAGGAUAGGCGAAGCGUGCGAUUGGAUUGCACGUCUAAGCAGUAAGGCUGAGUAUUAGGCAAAUCCGGUACUCGUUAAGGCUGAGCUGUGAUGGGGAGAAGACAUUGNGUCUUCGAGUCGUUGAUUUCACACUGCCGAGAAAAGCCUCUAGAUAGAAAAUAGGUGCCCGUACCGCAAACCGACACAGGUAGUCAAGAUGAGAAUUCUAAGGUGAGCGAGCGAACUCUCGUUAAGGAACUCGGCAAAAUGACCCCGUAACUUCGGGAGAAGGGGUGCUCUUUAGGGUUAACGCCCAGAAGAGCCGCAGUGAAUAGGCCCAAGCGACUGUUUAUCAAAAACACAGGUCUCUGCUAAACCGUAAGGUGAUGUAUAGGGGCUGACGCCUGCCCGGUGCUGGAAGGUUAAGAGGAGUGGUUAGCUUCUGCGAAGCUACGAAUCGAAGCCCCAGUAAACGGCGGCCGUAACUAUAACGGUCCUAAGGUAGCGAAAUUCCUUGUCGGGUAAGUUCCGACCCGCACGAAAGGCGUAACGAUUUGGGCACUGUCUCAACGAGAGACUCGGUGAAAUCAUAGUACCUGUGAAGAUGCAGGUUACCCGCGACAGGACGGAAAGACCCCGUGGAGCUUUACUGUAGCCUGAUAUUGAAAUUCGGCACAGCUUGUACAGGAUAGGUAGGAGCCUUUGAAACGUGAGCGCUAGCUUACGUGGAGGCGCUGGUGGGAUACUACCCUAGCUGUGUUGGCUUUCUAACCCGCACCACUUAUCGUGGUGGGAGACAGUGUCANGCGGGCAGUUUGACUGGGGCGGUCGCCUCCUAAAAGGUAACGGAGGCGCUCAAAGGUUCCCUCAGAAUGGUUGGAAAUCAUUCAUAGAGUGUAAAGGCAUAAGGGAGCUUGACUGCGAGACCUACAAGUCGAGCAGGGUCGAAAGACGGACUUAGUGAUCCGGUGGUUCCGCAUGGAAGGGCCAUCGCUCAACGGAUAAAAGCUACCCCGGGGAUAACAGGCUUAUCUCCCCCAAGAGUUCACAUCGACGGGGAGGUUUGGCACCUCGAUGUCGGCUCAUCGCAUCCUGGGGCUGUAGUCGGUCCCAAGGGUUGGGCUGUUCGCCCAUUAAAGCGGUACGCGAGCUGGGUUCAGAACGUCGUGAGACAGUUCGGUCCCUAUCCGUCGUGGGCGUAGGAAAUUUGAGAGGAGCUGUCCUUAGUACGAGAGGACCGGGAUGGACAUACCUCUGGUGUACCAGUUGUCGUGCCAACGGCAUAGCUGGGUAGCUAUGUGUGGACGGGAUAAGUGCUGAAAGCAUCUAAGCAUGAAGCCCCCCUCAAGAUGAGAUUUCCCAACUUCGGUUAUAAGAUCCCUCAAAGAUGAUGAGGUUAAUAGGUUCGAGGUGGAAGCAUGGUGACAUGUGGAGCUGACGAAUACUAAUCGAUCGAAGACUUAAUCAA